CUUAUAUUCUGUAGCAAGGUUAACCGAAUAGGGGAGCCGGAGGGAAACCGAGUCUUAAUUGGGCGUUAAGUUGCAGGGUAUAGACCCGAAACCCGGUGAUCUAGCCAUGGGCAGGUUGAAGGUUGGGUAACACUAACUGGAGGACCGAACCGACUAAUGUUGAAAAAUUAGCGGAUGACCUGUGGCUGGGGGUGAAAGGCCAAUCAAACCGGGAGAUAGCUGGUUCUCCCCGAAAGCUAUUUAGGUAGCGCCUCGUGAAUUCAUCUCCGGGGGUAGAGCACUGUUUCGGCUAGGGGGCCAUCCCGGCUUACCAACCCGAUGCAAACUGCGAAUACCGGAGAAUGUUAUCACGGGAGACACACGGCGGGUGCUAACGUCCGUCGUGAAGAGGGAAACAACCCAGACCGCCAGCUAAGGUCCCAAAGUCAUGGUUAAGUGGGAAACGAUGUGGGAAGGCCCAGACAGCCAGGAUGUUGGCUUAGAAGCAGCCAUCAUUUAAAGAAAGCGUAAUAGCUCACUGGUCGAGUCGGCCUGCGCGGAAGAUGUAACGGGGCUAAACCAUGCACCGAAGCUGCGGCAGCGACGCUGAUGCGUUGUUGGGUAGGGGAGCGUUCUGUAAGCCUGCGAAGGUGACCUGUGAGGGUUGCUGGAGGUAUCAGAAGUGCGAAUGCUGACAUAAGUAACGAUAAAGCGGGUGAAAAGCCCGCUCGCCGGAAGACCAAGGGUUCCUGUCCAACGUUAAUCGGGGCAGGGUGAGUCGACCCCUAAGGCGAGGCCGAAAGGCGUAGUCGAUGGGAAACGGGUUAAUAUUCCCGUACUUGGUGUUACUGCGAAGGGGGGACGGAGAAGGCUAUGUUGGCCGGGCGACGGUUGUCCCGGUUUAAGCGUGUAGGUGUGUGUUCCAGGUAAAUCCGGUUCACUUUAACACUGAGGCGUGACGACGAGGCACUACGGUGCUGAAGCAACAAAUGCCCUGCUUCCAGGAAAAGCCUCUAAGCAUCAGGUAACAUCAAAUCGUACCCCAAACCGACACAGGUGGUCAGGUAGAGAAUACCAAGGCGCUUGAGAGAACUCGGGUGAAGGAACUAGGCAAAAUGGUGCCGUAACUUCGGGAGAAGGCACGCUGACACGUAGGUGAAGUGAUUUACUCAUGGAGCUGAAGUCAGUCGAAGAUACCAGCUGGCUGCAACUGUUUAUUAAAAACACAGCACUGUGCAAACACGAAAGUGGACGUAUACGGUGUGACGCCUGCCCGGUGCCGGAAGGUUAAUUGAUGGGGUCAGCGCAAGCGAAGCUCCUGAUCGAAGCCCCGGUAAACGGCGGCCGUAACUAUAACGGUCCUAAGGUAGCGAAAUUCCUUGUCGGGUAAGUUCCGACCUGCACGAAUGGCGUAAUGAUGGCCAGGCUGUCUCCACCCGAGACUCAGUGAAAUUGAACUCGCUGUGAAGAUGCAGUGUACCCGCGGCAAGACGGAAAGACCCCGUGAACCUUUACUAUAGCUUGACACUGAACAUUGAGCCUUGAUGUGUAGGAUAGGUGGGAGGCUUUGAAGUGUGGACGCCAGUCUGCAUGGAGCCGACCUUGAAAUACCACCCUUUAAUGUUUGAUGUUCUAACGUGGACCCGUAAUCCGGGUUGCGGACAGUGUCUGGUGGGUAGUUUGACUGGGGCGGUCUCCUCCUAAAGAGUAACGGAGGAGCACGAAGGUUGGCUAAUCCUGGUCGGACAUCAGGAGGUUAGUGCAAUGGCAUAAGCCAGCUUGACUGCGAGCGUGACGGCGCGAGCAGGUGCGAAAGCAGGUCAUAGUGAUCCGGUGGUUCUGAAUGGAAGGGCCAUCGCUCAACGGAUAAAAGGUACUCCGGGGAUAACAGGCUGAUACCGCCCAAGAGUUCAUAUCGACGGCGGUGUUUGGCACCUCGAUGUCGGCUCAUCACAUCCUGGGGCUGAAGUAGGUCCCAAGGGUAUGGCUGUUCGCCAUUUAAAGUGGUACGCGAGCUGGGUUUAGAACGUCGUGAGACAGUUCGGUCCCUAUCUGCCGUGGGCGCUGGAGAACUGAGGGGGGCUGCUCCUAGUACGAGAGGACCGGAGUGGACGCAUCACUGGUGUUCGGGUUGUCAUGCCAAUGGCACUGCCCGGUAGCUAAAUGCGGAAGAGAUAAGUGCUGAAAGCAUCUAAGCACGAAACUUGCCCCGAGAUGAGUUCUCCCUGAGACUUAGAGUCUCCUGAAGGAACGUUGAAGACGACGACGUUGAUAGGCCGGGUGUGUAAGCGCAGCGAUGCGUUGAGCUAACCGGUACUAAUGAACCGUGAGGCUUAACCUUACAACGCCGAAG
rnacentral:rRNA from 1 species